rnacentral:rRNA from 1 species
CAGUAGCCACGGUAAUACGAAGGGGGCUAGCGUUGUUCGGAAUCACUGGGCGUAAAGGGUGCGUAGGCGGGCAUUUAAGUCAGGGGUGAAAUCCCGAGGCUCAACCUCGGAACUGCCCUUGAUACUGGAUGUCUUGAGUCCGGAAGAGGUGAGUGGAACUGCGAGUGUAGAGGUGAAAUUCGUAGAUAUUCGCAAGAACACCGGUGGCGAAGGCGGCUCACUGGUCCGGAACUGACGCUGAGGCACGACAGCGUGGGGAGCAAACAGGAUUAGAUACCCCGGUAGUCCCUGUCUCUUAUAC